rnacentral:rRNA from 1 species
UACGUAGGGGCCGAGCGUUGUCCGGAGUUACUGGGCGUAAAGCGCGCGCAGGCGGCGGCGUGGGUCCGGCGUGAAAGCCCCCGGCUCAACCGGGGAGGGUCGUCGGGGACCGCGCCGCUUGAGGACGGCAGGGGCCGGUGGAAUGCCCGGUGUAGUGGUGAAAUGCGUAGAGAUCGGGCGGAACACCCGUGGCGAAGGCGGCCGGCUGGGCCGGUCCUGACGCUGAGGCGCGAAGGCGUGGGGAGCGAAC